rnacentral:rRNA from 1 species
UGAUCCUGGCUCAGGAUGAACGCUGGCGGCGUGCCUAAUACAUGCAAGUCGAGCGAACAGACGAGGAGCUUGCUCCUCUGACGUUAGCGGCGGACGGGUGAGUAACACGUGGAUAACCUACCUAUAAGACUGGGAUAACUUCGGGAAACCGGAGCUAAUACCGGAUAAUAUAUUGAACCGCAUGGUUCAAUAGUGAAAGACGGUUUUGCUGUCACUUAUAGAUGGAUCCGCGCCGCAUUAGCUAGUUGGUAAGGUAACGGCUUACCAAGGCAACGAUGCGUAGCCGACCUGAGAGGGUGAUCGGCCACACUGGAACUGAGACACGGUCCAGACUCCUACGGGAGGCAGCAGUAGGGAAUCUUCCGCAAUGGGCGAAAGCCUGACGGAGCAACGCCGCGUGAGUGAUGAAGGUCUUCGGAUCGUAAAACUCUGUUAUUAGGGAAGAACAAAUGUGUAAGUAACUAUGCACGUCUUGACGGUACCUAAUCAGAAAGCCACGGCUAACUACGUGCCAGCAGCCGCG